GACGAACGCUGGCGGCGUGCCUAAUACAUGCAAGUAGAACGCUGAAGACUUUAGCUUGCUAAAGUUGGAAGAGUUGCGAACGGGUGAGUAACGCGUAGGUAACCUGCCUACUAGCGGGGGAUAACUAUUGGAAACGAUAGCUAAUACCGCAUAACAGCAUUUAACCCAUGUUAGAUGCUUGAAAGGAGCAAUUGCUUCACUAGUAGAUGGACCUGCGUUGUAUUAGCUAGUUGGUGAGGUAACGGCUCACCAAGGCGACGAUACAUAGCCGACCUGAGAGGGUGAUCGGCCACACUGGGACUGGGACACGGCCCAGACUCCUACGGGAGGCAGCAGUAGGGAAUCUUCGGCAAUGGGGGAAACCCUGACCGAGCAACGCCGCGUGAGUGAAGAAGGUUUUCGGAUCGUAAAGCUCUGUUGUAAGAGAAGAACGUGUGUGAGAGUGGAAAGUUCACACAGUGACGGUAACUUACCAGAAAGGGACGGCUAACUACGUGCCAGCAGCCGCCGUAAGAC
rnacentral:rRNA from 1 species